rnacentral:rRNA from 1 species
CGUUUUACCAGCACCCGCCCCGUCGAACCAUGAAAAGUUUCGUAACACCCAAAGUCGCUGGGGUAACCUUUUAGGAGCCAGCCGCCUAAGGUGGGACAGAUGAUUAGGGUGAAGUCGUAACAAGGUACCGUAGGAGAACCUGCGGCUG